UACGUAGGGUGCGAGCGUUGUCCGGAAUUAUUGGGCGUAAAGAGCUCGUAGGCGGUCUGUCGCGUCGGUCGUGAAAACCUGCAGCUUAACUGUGGGCUUGCGGUCGAUACGGGCAUGACUGGAGUUCGGCAGGGGAGACUGGAAUUCCGUGGUGAUAGCGGUGAAAUGCGCAGAUAGUCAGGAGGAACACCCGGUGGCGAAGGCGGGUCUCUGGGCCGAUACUGACGCUGGAGGAGCGAAAGCGUGGGAGCGAACAGG
rnacentral:rRNA from 1 species